GUCUUUUUGAUUAAUAAUUUAAAGUCUAAUCUGCCCACUGAUAAUAUAUUAAAGGGCUGCAGUAUUUUGACUGUACAAAGGUAGCAUAAUCAUUAGUCUCUUAAUUGGUGACUUGUAUGAAGGAUUUGAUGAAAUAUAUACUGUCUCUUUUUGAUUUAUAAAAUUUAAUUUUUUAGUUAAAAAGCUAAAAUUUAUUUAAAAGACGAGAAGACCCUAUAGAGUUUUAUAUUUAUAUAAAUUAAAAUUUUUUAUAAGAUUUAAAAUUUCAAUUUAUAUAAAUAUUUUAUUGGGGUGAUAGAAAAAUUAAAAUAACUUUUUUUAUAAUUUUACAUUAAUAAAUGAAUAAAUGAUCCGUAAUUUACGAUUAUAAGAUAAAAUUACCUUAGGGAUAACAGCGUAAUUUUUUUUUUUAGUUCAAAUAAGAAAAAAAGUUUGCGACCUCGAUGUUGGAUUAAGAUAAAAUUUAAAUGCAAAAGUUUAAAAUUUUUGAUCUGUUCGAUCAUUAAAAUCUUACA
rnacentral:rRNA from 1 species